rnacentral:rRNA from 1 species
GAUGAACGCUAGCGGCAGGCCUAAUACAUGCAAGUCGAACGGGUGGUCGCAAGACCACUAGUGGCGCACGGGUGCGGAACGCGUAACCAACCUGCCCCGAUCUGGGGGAUAGCCCGCCGAAAGGCGGAUUAAUACCGCAUAUACCCGCAGCCUGGCAUCAGGCAACGGGGAAAGAUUUAUUGGAUCGGGAUGGGGUUGCGUGACAUUAGCUAGUUGGCGGGGUAAGGGCCCACCAAGGCGACGAUGUCUAGGGGACCUGAGAGGGUGAUCCCCCACACUGGCACUGAGAUACGGGCCAGACUCCUACGGGAGGCAGCAGUAGGGAAUAUUGGGCAAUGGGCGAGAGCCUGACCCAGCCAUGCCGCGUGCCGGAUGCAGGCCUUCUGGGUUGUAAACGGCUUUUCUCAGGGAAGAAAAAGACCUUGCGAGGUACACUGACGGUACCUGAGGAAUAAGCACCGGCUAACUCCGUG